GAAAUGCGAUACGUAAUGUGAAUUGCAGAAUUCAGUGAAUCAUCGAAUCUUUGAACGCACCUUGCGCCCCUUGGCAUUCCGAGGGGCACACCCGUUUGAGUGUCGUGAAACCCUCAAAAACCCUCUUCUUUGAGGAUUUUUGGACUUGGAGGUUUGAUGCUCGCUUUCACGUUCGAAAGCGAGCUCCUCUCAAAAGAAUCAGUGGGGUCUGCUUUGCCGGUCCUUGACGUGAUAAGAUGUUUCUACGUUUCGGAUUUGGCAUCGUCCCCUUGGGGAUGCCCCUGCUCCUAAUAAUCGUCUCACGGACGAUCGAUGGUGCUUCGGUCACCGCCAUCUAACGUUGGCGGGAGGCUGGACCCACAAAAGAAGACCUUGACCUCAAAUCGGGUGAGACUACCCGCUGAACUUAA
rnacentral:rRNA from 1 species